UCGGGAAUUUUGGGCAAUGGGCGAAAGCCUGACCCAGCAACGCCGCGUGAAGGAUGAAGUUUUUCGGAAUGUAAACUUCGUAAGAAUAGGAAGAAUAAAUGACGGUACUAUUUGUAAGGUCCGGCUAACUACGUGCCAGCAGCCGCGGUAAUACGAAGGGGGCUAGCGUUGUUCGGAAUUACUGGGCGUAAAGCGCGCGCAGGCGGUCUUCCAAGUCAGUGGUGAAAGCCUGGAGCUCAACUCCAGAACUGCCAUUGAAACUGUUGGACUUGAGUACGAGAGAGGUGAGUGGAAUUCCCAGUGUAGAGGUGAAAUUCGUAGAUAUUGGGAAGAACACCAGUGGCGAAGGCGGCUCACUGGCUCGUAACUGACGCUCAGGCGCGACAGCGUGGGGAUCAAAC
rnacentral:rRNA from 1 species